CUGCAAGCCUCCAGGGGCUGGGGUCCGGAGUGACCCUAUGCAUUCCACUGUGCUUGCAAGAACAUUAUGAAACAGUUUGAGGCCUUGCCCUGCUCCAUCCAGAGACCGGUUAUAGAAAUUUCAAAAGGAA